CAGCCCCAAAGCCCUGCCUGUGUUAGGGGAGCUAUCGAACUCGGAUAAUGACAUAAACGAGUCAGUGUUCAUCUGGGGAAUCUCAGACAAAGCAGCCCAGAGGAAAACCAUCUCUGUCGAUGAAGGUUUGUUUCACUUGCAACGGGAAAAUCAGCAGCAGCAGCAACCAGAGCCGGUGCUCAGGCUGGGGAGAGGGAAAGGGAAGCUGAAGCUGCCACAUAGGACACACAGCAAACAGCUCUCACUCUGGAGACAGGAAGCUUGCCAAAGUGCAUCACAUCAGCAGGACGUGACUGGACUGUGUUUUGGAGUGACUGAAGAGGCAGCAGCACCACGUCCAAGUUCUUUGUGGCUCUUAGCAGGUCACAGAAGAGAACCAGCUCUCUCUUACAACCCCGCCCGAUGAAGCUUGGAGUUUAUCUGUGGGACAGGAACCACAAGGGUUCUCAUCUGAAAAAUAAAAUGCCUUUCCACUGUGCCCGGAUUUUCUCUCCUGAUGCAACCAAAAAAAAAAAAAUUUCCUCUUGCUCUUCCAAAUUUUGUCUGGAAGGUUUGAUAUUUUUGAGUCUCCAUGAGCUCUGCUGUCAGAGGGUGAAGGAAGCCUGCUGAUCUCCCAAAUCCCUGCCACAGAGAAUAGGAUGCACUGAACCUUGUCAGAGUUUCACAUUUAUUGUAUAAAAGCAAAACAAAAGAGCUAUGCAUUUAGGUCAUCGAGAGAGAGAAAGAGAAAGAUUUGCUGAUCCAACAGAGAUUGAUGUACUGGUUAGAACAGCAGCUUAGGGGCUUCCCUGGUGGCGCCGUGGUUAAGAAUCUGCCUGCCAAUGCAGGGGACACGACUUCGAGCCCUGGUCUGGGAAGAUCCCACAUGCCGUGGAGCAACUAAGCCCGUGUGCCAUAACUACUGAACCUGUGCUCUAGAGCCUUCGAGCCACAACUAUUGAAGCCCACGUGCUUAGAGCCCGUGCUCCACAAAAGAAGCCACCUCAAUGAGAAGCCCGCGCACCACAAUAAAGAGUAGCCCCCACUCCCUGCAACUAGAGAAAGCACGCAAGGAGCAACAAAAACCCAACGCAGCCAAAAAUAAAAUAAAUAAAUUGAAAAAAAAAAGAGAACAGCAGCCCCAUAAUUUUCAGGUCUCCGUUUUACUUGUAAAAUCAGUGCCCAGUUUGUCUGUUCAUUCUCUGUGUAUUCA